ensembl:snRNA U2 U2 spliceosomal RNA
AUCGUUUCUCAGCCUUUUGGCUAAGAUCAAGUGUAAGGUGAUGGUAUCAGAAUUUCAUUAAUAAUGUAUAAGUUUUUGUUAAGAUAUUUCCAAGCCUAUAUAAAAUGUUUACAGUUCAGAAAGUAUAUAUUGAGAUUGAUAUUGCCACUUUCCAUUCACCAAUAGUUUCAU